AUUGAACGCUGGCGGCAGGCCUAACACAUGCAAGUCGAACGAGUGGCGGACGGGUGAGCAAUGUCUGGGAAUCUGCCUGAUGGAGGGGGAUAACUACCGGAAACGGUUGCUAAUACCGCAUACCAUCAGAUGUGCCCAGAUGGGAUUAGCUUGUUGGGGGGGUAAAGGCUCACCAAGGCGACGAUCCCUACUUGGUCUGAGAGGAUGACCAGCCACACUGGAACUGAGACACGGUCCAGACUCCUACGGGAGGCAGCAGUGGGGAAUAUUGGACAAUGGGCGCAAGCCUGAUGCAGCCAUGCCGCGUGUGUGAAGAAGGCCUUCGGAUUGUAAAGUACUUUAAGCGGGGAGGCGUUACCCGCAGAAGAAGCACCGGCUAACUCCGUGCCAGCCGCCGCGGUAAUUC
rnacentral:rRNA from 1 species